AGCGAACGCUGGCGGCAGGCCUAACACAUGCAAGUCGAACGGACCCUUCGGGGUUAGUGGCGGACGGGUGAGUAACACGUGGGAACGUGCCUUUAGGUUCGGAAUAGCUCCUGGAAACGGGUGGUAAUGCCGAAUGUGCCCUUCGGGGGAAAGAUUUAUCGCCUUUAGAGCGGCCCGCGUCUGAUUAGCUAGUUGGUGAGGUAAUGGCUCGCCAAGGCGACGAUCAGUAGCUGGUCUGAGAGGAUGACCAGCCACAUUGGGACUGAGACACGGCCCAAACUCCUACGGGAGGCAGCAGUGGGGAAUCUUGCGCAAUGGGCGAAAGCCUGACGCCGCCAUGCCGCGUGGAUGAUGAAGGUCUUAGGAUUGUAAAAUCCUUUCACCGGUGAAGAUAAUGACUGUAGCCGGAGAAGAAGCCCCGGCUAACUUCGUGCCAGCCGCCGCGGUAAUAC
rnacentral:rRNA from 1 species